GAGUUUGAUCCUGGCUCAGAAUGAACGCUGGCGGCGCGCCUAAUACAUGCAAGUCGAGCGAGAAGACGUAGCAAUACGUUUGUAAAGCGGCGAACGGGUGAGGAAUACAUGGGUAACCUACCCUAGAGUGGGGAAUAACUAGCCGAAAGGUUAGCUAAUACCGCGUACGCUCCCUGGACUUCGGUUCAGGGGGGAAAGCGCUACCGAGGGUAGCGCGCUCUUGGAUGGGCUCAUGUCCUAUCAGCUUGUUGGUGAGGUAACGGCUCACCAAGGCUUCGACGGGUAGCUGGUCUGAGAGGACGAUCAGCCACACUGGCACUGCGACACGGGCCAGACUCCUACGGGAGGCAGCAGUAAGGAAUAUUGCGCAAUGGGCGAAAGCCUGACGCAGCGACGCCGCGUGGGGGAUGAAGGUCUUCGGAUUGUAAACCCCUUUCGGGAGGGAAGAUGGAGUGGGGUAACCCACUCGGACGGUACCUCCAGAAGCAGCCACGGCUAACUUCGUGCCAGCAGCCGCGGUAAUACGAAGGUGGCAAGCGUUAUUCGGAUUUACUGGGCGUACAGGGAGCGUAGGCGGUUCGGUAAGCCCUCUGUGAAAUCUUCAGGCUUAACCUGGAAAAGUCGGAGGGGACUGCCGGGCUAGAGGACGGGAGAGGAGCGCGGAAUUCCCGGUGUAGCGGUGAAAUGCGUAGAGAUCGGGAGGAAGGCCGGUGGCGAANGCGGCUCUCUGGUCCGAUACUGACGCUGAGACGCGAAAGCGUGGGGAGCAAACAGGAUUAGAUACCCUGGUAGUC
rnacentral:rRNA from 1 species